rnacentral:rRNA from 1 species
UACAGAGGGGGCAAGCGUUAUUCGGAAUUAUUGGGCGUAAAGGGCGCGUAGGCGGCCUGGCAAGUGGAAGGUGAAAUCCCUCGGCUUAACCGAGGAACUGCCCUCCAAACUGCUUGGCUUGAGUCCGGGAGAGGUGAGUGGAAUUCCCCAGUGUAGCGAUGAAAUGCGUAGAUAUUGGGGAGGAACACCAGUGGCGAAGGCGGCUCACUGGACCGGAACUGACGCUGAUGCGCGAAAGCGUGGGGAGCAAACGGGG